rnacentral:tRNA from 1 species
CGAGGUGUAGCGCAGUUUGGUAGCGCGCUUGGUUCGGGACCAAGAGGUCGUGGGUUCAAGUCCCGUCACCUCGA